UAAUUUAUUUUUAUAUAUUAUUUAGUAUUGCAUACUAUUAUAAGAAAAUGUUAUUAUUUAUAAAAAAUAGAAAUAAAAGGUAGAAAAAUAAUUAGUUUUAUUGUUUCAUAAUAAAAAUUAUUAUUUUUGGAGUUGAUAUGUUGACUUUUAUGAUAUCUGUAUAAUUUAUUUUAUUAGAAAAUUAUAUUUUAUUUAUUUAUUAUAGGAAAAGUAAAAUUUAUAGUGUUUUAAUUUUUUGUUUUAUAACAAUUUCUAUUAGAAUUUAGUAUAUUAAUAUAUUAAUUAACAAAUUAUUGUUAAUUAAAAAAUUUUUGAAUUAGUAAAUUUAUAAAAUAAAUAAAUUAUUUUAAUAUAAUUUUAAGAACUUGAAAUCUUGAUCAAAUGUUUUUUAAAGACUUAGGUUUUAAAUUUAAAACUGGCUUCUGCCCUAUGAAUUUUAAAUGGCAGUCUUAGCGUGAGGACAUUAAGGUAGCAAAAUAAUUUGUGCUUUUAUUGAGUUCCAGUAUGAAUGAAGUUAUUGGUUAGUUAUAUUUAUGUUUUAUUAUUGAAUUUAUUAUUUAUUUAAGAAAAAAUAAUUAUAUUUAAACAAAGAUAAGUCUUCGGAAAUUCUAUUAUUAAAUAUUUAUAUAAAUAUUUAAUAAAUUUUCUAGGGUAGAAUAUUAUAUAAUUGUUUUUUACUAUUUUUAAUAUAAAGAAUUACUCCGGAGUUAACAGAAAAUCAUACCUAAUCUAGUACUUAUAGUAAGGUAAGUUUUACAUCGAUGUUGUAUUUAGAUAAUCUAAAAGAGGAGAAGAUUUAGUUUUUAAGACUGUUCUUCUAUUAAAUAAUCUAACGUGAUAUUAGUUUAAUUCAUUGUGAGAUAGAAUUGUUUAUCUUGUUAAAUAUUUAUUUUUAAUACUUUUAGUACGAAAGGAAAAUUGUAAAAGUUUGAAACUUU
rnacentral:rRNA from 1 species